rnacentral:lncRNA from 1 species
CUCUGGGCCAAAGGAGUCAGUGCUGGGGUUGGUGUGUAUGUGUGUUGGAGGGGGGCAGGCCAGAAACUGAGACAGGAGGAGAGGAGCCAAAUCAGGUAGUCACUGUAUUUUAUUGGAAAACAUUGAUAUAUAUUUUUCUUCACAGCUUGAACUGAACACAAUAUUGCCCGGUUUAAAAAAAACAAAACCAAAACAUUCCGAAAAUGUCCACAGCCUCACGCCUACCUGCCCUUACCCUCAGCUCUUGGCUGGGUCUCCCACUAUGCCCCAUCCCUCCUUCCCUCAGAGGCUGGGUGCCAGAGGGUGGAUGAGAAGAGAUUCUCAAAGCUGGGCAGGUCCCAGGAAAAGCCACUUGAUCGACCUGGGCAGUGAGGGGAAGCAGGGGGUGGGGGGUGGGGUGGGGAGGUGGUGGGGGGAGCCAGAUGAAAUGAACAGAAAAGGGGAAAAAACCCAGACGACUGAACUGCCCACAUUGACUUACUUGUCCCAGAGGCGAAAGUCAGAAGCAAGGGCACGGAUCAUGCUCUCCGCUGGGGGAGUAUGGGGGCAGGCAGGUGGGCGAGGGAAGAGGCAGGGAAGAGGGCACGGAGCACAGAUGUGAGGAAGCGGCGCCAAGUCACCACGGAGAAGCGGGAGGUGCUGGCGGACCAGGACGCAGAGGCUGCUGUAGCUGCCGUCCCCUGGGCAGCUGGCCGACAAGACUGUUUUAUUGCAGAACAGCUCGAGAGCGCUUCAGGAACGCGGGCAAGUCCAAUUUGCAGAGUGGCCAAAUGAGCAGUCCCCACCCAGCCAAACCUCAGAAAGCCAAUCAGAUGGUUUCAGAACAGCAGCCAGUGGGAUGUGAGUGUUGCCCACUGUCAGUCCCCUUCUGUGAGUUGGCCCCCUCGACCCCCUCCUGGGCCACAUCCAGUCAACGCCACAAUUCCUCAACGCCCCCUCAGUCCUUCUGGAAUGCCUCUCUUGGCACCCCUGCCCCAACAGGCUGCUGGGAUCUGCACGUGGAAUCACAGGGCUGGUUGCAUGCAACGGCAAAGGGCAUGCUCUUCUGCCUGGGGGAGGGCCUCUUGUCCCUCCCAGCAGGUCCCGGGACAGGGCUGGCAGCCACCCCAGCACCCAAAAUAAGAUGACAAACAAGAGGAAACAAACCAAAAUGGAGGAGAGCCAUCCGGGCUGGAGGAGGGCAGAGGCUCCCCAAGGGGAUCUGGGGAGGGCUUCAACUUAUGAAUGCAUCAGGCCUUGGAAGACAUGGAUGGAAGAGGCGAGGGCAAAAGGAAGAGAUGAGGGGCAUGGAGAGAGACUCAGGGAAGAAGGAGAAAGAGCAAUCAUGCAGCUUGGGACAAAUCUUUUGUUGCUUUAUCAGAUUCUCAGUCAAUCAAUUGGUGUUUGCUAGAACCGGGGUACGCAGGGGAGUGUUGAAGAGAGAGUGCGCGCGCGAGAAGAGAGAGAUCAAGAGAACGGGCAUCGCCAGCUGCCCGGGGGGCCUUCACUUUGCAGUCAUCAUCUGUACAAACUCUGU